CCUGGGUCUCGGAGUUCGCCGGUGUUUUCCGUUGUUCGCCUUAUUUCCCCUGCUUCUGAUCUUUCUUGCCCUGCGUCGCCUUGCCCGCGACGACGUCUGUGGCGCCCUCGUUCUUCGCCUGCGUUCCGCUCUGCAGCCAGGAACUCUUCCGCCCACAGACGCAUGCCGACUCGAAAGCGCGUUUCGUCUUCGGCGAAAAUAGUUUGAAGCCUUCUGAACAUUCCUGCCUUCUUCUUUACGGCCUCUACAGCCUCCCUCCAGGUGACUCCGAAUGCUCUCUCUGUCGCAAGAACGAAGGCCUCUUCGCAGGUCUGCGCCCUUCGUCGGUCUACGGUCAAGUUCCCUCUUUUCGUACGGACUGGCGCGUCGCGGAACUCUGACGCAGCGAGGGAAGACGAUGAUUGCCGCGAGUGAAACGGGGGCGCAGAAGGCCAAGCUGAAAACGUACACGGAGCAGAAGUUCUCAGAGAUGGAGAGGACACUGCGCCUCUUCCUCCUCCUCCACGUUUCUGACGUCUCUUCUCCUUCGCCUUCCCGCAUGCGUCUCGCCUCGCCUCUUCUGCUGAGGCGGACGACGAAGCAGCGCCAAUCGCGGCGCACUCGAUGGCGACGCGGGAAGAAGAACUGUUUUCUUCCUUUUCGUCAACAUCUUCGAUCAUUUCCUCGAAACCGCUGUGUGUCUCUGAAGGGCACUGAGACGAAGGAGGCGACGAAGGAGGCGACGAAGAAGCGGAAAAAGGUAACGGAGACCGACAAUUUCCCUGGUACUGUAAAGACACGCAAGCGGCCUUCAUGGAGACCUGAACAGUGGAGGGACGCUCUGUGGAGGUUGCGCGAGUAGCUCGACUUGACCGACAAGGUGUAGGAAGACGAAAGCGCAGUCGCCGAGGCUUGACACAACGGCCAGGUGCCACCGAAGAAACGCGAUAGUGGGGAGAACGACAGAGAUCGGAAAAGGUCGUACCCCAAGAUGGACAGUUCUGUAGUUCCUCCGGGAAAUAAACCGAGGGACGUUUGAGGAGAGGGUUUGACACUGAAACACGAUGUGAUGUUAAUGAAGAGCUAGGACUCGAGUCUCCAGCUGGUGAGAGGCCUGAUAGUUGUUCUUUCGCGGUCCACGGAAGUGGUUCUCUCACGAUUUGUUGGUCGUUUUGAACACCAGAUAUAUUUUCGGCUCCACUGUUUUGUGAGCGGAUUUGUCGACGCAAUGAACGGCGUUCAGUUUGGCGCAUUUCAGAGUCCCAGUCUGCAUCACGUUCGCCGUCCUCUCUUUGCCCUUGCAACGCUCUGGCUCUUGUUCUAUGCUCUAGUUCACAGUUGAAGGGUCUUCGCUCUCUCUCUAUUUCGUCUAUGCCUCUGCUCCUUGGGCUCGCAUCUUCUUCUUCUCCUAUCGGUUCCGUCUCAUCCUCUCCUUCUGUUCUCCUCCUGGGCCAAGAGCGUGUGAGAGGUCCUAAGUCGGCGUCAGGCUCGCUAGGCCCUCGAGGAAGCGAUCUUCUGGACCAGGCUGAAGCCGGGAUGACUGUGGAGCGUGGCGAAUGCUGUGGAAUGACAGACGGAGGUGGCGACGAAAAGAAAGACAAAGGCUCCUGGACUGAAUGCUCGGCUCUGCCUCGCAGUUUGCUGUCAACACCGUCAUGCAGCUCAGGCGGAGAGUCUGCUUCUCUGCGGACGUGGAAAGGGGAGGAACGAGGCAGCGCCCGAGUUGAAGAACAAGGCGAAGGGGCCUCGGAAUGAAAUGCAGGUUGCGUCGGACAAUCCGAAGAAGUGCGAGAGACUUGUCGGUUACCUCCACAGUCUGGGAGAGACGAUGAAGCCGCGGUCUGAGGCCAGAGAGGCGUCACUGAACCGGUGGCAUUGAUAGAGGGAAAAAACGAGGCAAAGGAGGAGCGAGACGAAGGCUCUAGAGGCGACGAAGAGGACGAAGAGUCGAGUGAACAGAACGACGCGUCUCUUCCAGGAGACCGUAAGCGACGCUGGUGUGCGUCAUCUUGCAGUUUCCUCUCACCCAGACGAAACGCAGAAACUGAAGAAGAAGAGACAGGAGGCAGUGAGGAAGGAGAUGCCGCCGCGUCACGCGCUUUCACCGUUGGCUUCCUUGGCGCGUUUUCUUGACUCCUGUGGAAAGUCGCGUCCUCCCCUUGCUGGUCGGUGGCUGACCCAGAGAGUGGCGCGCGCGAGUGAGCUGAGGAACUGAGAGGCGGAGCCGGGCAGACGACAGACCAAGGCUCCCGCUUCUUCGGUAGGAACGGGAGAGGCGCCACUGCGGAUUCUUCCCGGGAAGAGCAGCCGCCCACAGGGUCGCCAGCCGCGACAGUGGAUCUGGAAGAAGAGUGAGAGGUUGCCUGUCUCUCUCUGCGCGCCGCAGACGGCGAGUGAGGAGGCGGAGGAGAGGACAGCAUAGGCGACCCGUGGUGAGACGAAGACGACCCCACACACCGCCGAGGCAACGGCGCCAUGUUCUCCACUUUAGAGGAACGAGGCGACUGCGCAGUGUGUGAGUGAGGUGCGAUGCUUCGCUGCACGACGGUCGGGGACAAGGGCAGCCCAGCCGUAGAUCUGUUGGUAUCGCUCAAGGGGGAAGUAAGCAUGCGACAGGGCACAGAAGAGGGAGACAAGCUAAAAGACGAAGACGUAGCAGCAGAACUCGAGGCAGAACCAGCCGCAGACCUGGUCGCGACUGGCGCCUGAUGGUGAGUUACGUACAACGACGCUGCGGGAGAGUGGGUGCGCUUAUCCUCAGUAUAUGGGAGAAGAGUGGAGGAGGCGUUGGGAACCGAGGAUGGAGGAACUGGCUGCGACGUGGAAGGCGCGGCAGAAGAAUUAGAGGAAUCGGUCGGAAACGAGGCGGGGAUCCUUUCCCGACGAAUAUGCAUAGAACGUUUCUGGAGCUGGCAAGGACGCCGCUCUCCACUGUUUCCUCCAUGUGCGGUCGAAAAGACCGUUUCUCGCGAGUUCGUCUUUCCCAGUGCAUUCGUGUUGGUUUCUGUGUCUCCGGCAGCUGGACAGUCCUCGCCUCUCCGGUUUACCUGACCCCGUGGUGGCACAAACCGCUCGACUGUUUGAUUCCCCCUCCGUAGAGCAACCGAUGAGGCGGAAACGUCGGAGGCAACAGAGGACGCCGGCGGAGUAUCUUCGCCUUCUGCAGGUGCAGCCGCAAUGACGCUGUGAUGACCAGACGAGAGUUCCCCUUCUAUGUGAAAAUACUGCCCAUCUGACAGACUUAGGUGACCAGUUUGUCCUCGGUUCGGGAGUCGGUCUUUUUGGCGUUUUGAAAUUUCCUUCGCUUCAGCCUCACGAGAAGUCAAAAUGGAGGAAGACCGUGUCCCCGUCGAAGCUCGUUCGCGCUGUGCGGCGAGUCUAACUCGCCGGCCGACAAGUGAGCACAGAAAACGGAUAUUUUUCGUUCUUUGCACGUUUAGGGAUUGGGAGACAAAGAGAUCAGUGGCUUUUCCGGUCUCGUGGUAAGAAAACCCUAAACGUGUGAAUGGAGAUAUCGUUAUUGUUGGAUAACGUUUACCAUUUUCGAUAGGUGUGAAUGCAGCCUCAGACACUACUCUACAACAGUGUGAACACAGCCGAUAAUUCAGUCCCCAACGGUGUGCUUUUUCGCGUCACAGAUUCCUUUCGAUCCAACCAGAGGUUCACCAAACGAUGUGACCGAACCGCAUCAUCUUUUCCUUCAGGGAUCGCAUGAGACAAUCACGCAACCCAACGCCAUUCAUCGAACAUGCAGAUCUUCGUGUUGAUCUCUACAGUGCAAUUGGCUUUUGGUUCAUUGAACAGAUACAUUCAAAACUGUCAUUUCUCUGCCACAGUUCCCUGUUCAAGUACAACGACUUGCACAGGCAGCAUCGUUUUGCUAUCGUCGUGUGCCGGCUCUCCCAUUUCAGCCCCCAGUCUCGGACACAACAUGUUGCCUAGUGUUCGUUUUAUUUAACUCAGCUUUGCAGAAUUUCUUUUCCCUAUCCACCGAGGUCCUACCGACCAAACUGCUCGGUAUGAACGGAAACCAUGGUACAGGUGGAUAGAUGUGUGAUGAAUGUAGUUCGUGCCGUCGUUCGCGCUGGAUGUUGGAUCUCUUUAAAUGGAGCGGGCAAACUAACCUUGCGUAGUAGCCUUGACGCGCAGGAUGCGUUUCUCUAGAAACCUGUUUCCUGGUGUUCGACAUGCUCCUUCUUUCUGCAGAAAGCUCGCGAUUGACUUUCGAAAGCCAUCGUCUGUGUUUCUGGUAAAUUUCUGUCAGAAGGCUCUCCAGGAGCGAGCGGUCACCCAGGGCAACCGCUUCUGCGUCGUCUUCCCCCAAUUCCACGCCUAGCUGCCUCAAAGGCGUAAUAAGGGAACGCCAGUUAGCCUCACAAGCCGCAUGAGUUUGAGAACACGAAAGAGUAGUUAUAUCGAUGCGACUAGGAAGGCGGUGUCUCGCAAAGAGUGCGUUAAGCGUUUGAGCGACUGGGAUACCAUUCUCAAAGUUGGCAGUUGUUCUCGGGCUCAAAACGGCGUUAACUCCUUGCACAGUACGUGUCGGCAUCUGAGGCUUUACCACGCCAAGAUCCAGAUAGAAUUGAAAAAUGUAGAGUGGCAACGAAACCGUCAUCUUGCAAGGAACUCAGCUAAGCUUCCUUACCAAGCGCCCAUCGUUUGAGAGGAAUCAAGUAUAUGUGUCUGAUAUUCAUAGCGGUCGUUGACGUUCCAGUGAUUACUUUUUUCCUAGCAUGUACGCAACGUUUCAGAAUGCUUUCAACAAGUUAGGAACUCCGUCGGUUCUGCCGGAACGAAGCUUUCAGCAGAUCAGGCGGCAGGGGGGGACGAGUGGCAUUCCAUUUUGGUAAGAGGUCGGGUGGGAAACUUUGCCAGAGGUGGCGAUUCGGGUCCGGAGCUCUUCGUUGUUGUCUGGGGCUUCGACGAUGCCUCCACUUCAUCGAACGCAAAAUCAGUGAGGUCGUAUCAUGCGGUUGCACAUAAGAACAGCAGUUUCUCAUGUGGCCGUUGGAACAGAGAACGACGUUACGCCGGGCUCUUUCAGGCGGUAGGUAAUCUACGAACAAGGGCAUCCCUUGUGCCUGAGAGCUGAGAGGGGACUUGGACAGAUUGUUUUUGAUUGAUACGAGAGAGAGAAAUGUUUCCGUGCAUGCGGAUGGUCAUCAAUGUAAAUGAAGACAAGCGUGGUACGGGGCCCCAGUGGGGCAACAGCUCUGCUGCGCAUUCGAUGCGAGACACAAAAUGAUAUUCGUGACAAGAGGAAAUCAGACAUCUGAGCUUCCACCGGUUGUGAUUGAAAAACAAGCAUUCCCCUAUUUUCGUACCGUUGCGGAAAAUCAACCUGUACCUAUUCAGUCGCUUCAGUUUGUUAAAUUGUUAAUAAUAACCGACGCGUCUGAUCAGGGGGAGAUGAUCCCCUUUUCCUCCUCUGGUACCAAAACUCCAG
rnacentral:lncRNA from 1 species